rnacentral:rRNA from 1 species
UGAAUACGAGAUGCUACGGCGUCGAAGCAGUCUAUGUCAUACUUCCAAGAAAAGCUUGCACUGUCAUAAACAAAUAAUGCCUGUACCAUAACCGACACAGGUGGGUAGGUAGAGUAUACUAAGGGGCGCGAGAUAACUCUCUCUAAGGAACUCGGCAAAAUGACUCCGUAACUUCGGGAGAAGGAGUGCCUUAUUUUAUAAGGUUGCAAUAACAAGAUCCAAGCAACUGUUUACCAAAAACACAGGUCUCCGCUAAGUCGUAAGACGAUGUAUGGGGGCUGACGCCUGCCCAGUGCCAGAAGGUUAAAGAAGUUGGUUAGCAUCCGCGAAGCUGAUAACUGAAGCCCUGGUGAACGGCGGCCGUAACAAUAACGGUCCUAAGGUAGCGAAAUUCCUUGUCGGGUAAGUUCCGACCCGCACGAAAGGCGUAAUGAUUUGGAUACUGUCUCAGAGAGGGGCUCGGUGAAAUAGACUUGUCUGUGAAGAUGCGGACUACCUGCACCAGGACAGAAAGACCCUAUGAAGCUUUACUGUAACUUGAAAUUGAAAUUGGACUUUACUUGCGCAGUAUAGGUGGGAGGCGUUGAGAAUAUUCUUGCGGGAAUGUUGGAGCCAUCAGUGAGAUACCACUCUUGUAAUGUUAGAUUUCUAACUUUGUAUCAUUAUCUGGUCAAGGGACAGUUUCAGGCGGGCAGUUUGACUGGGGCGGUCGCCUCCCAAACGGUAACGGAGGCGCACAAAGGUUUCCUCUGAACGGGUAGAAAUCGUAUCUAGAGUGUAAAGGCAUAAGGAAGCUUGACUGUGAGACCUACAAGUCGAGCAGGGACGAAAGUCGGUCUUAGUGAUCUGACGGUGCUGAGUGGAAAGGCCGUCACUCAACGGAUAAAAGUUACUCUAGGAUAACAGGCUGAUCUCCCCCAAGAGUUCACAUCGACGGGGAGGUUUGGCACCUCGAUGUCGGCUCAUCGCAUCCUGGGGCGGUAGUACGUCCCAAGGGUUGGGCUGUUCGCCCAUGAAAGCGGUACGCGAGCUGGGUUCAGAACGUCGUGAGACAGUUCGGUCCAUAUCCGGUGUAGGCGUUAGAAUAUUGAGAGGAGCCUUCUUUAGUACGAGAGGACCGAGAAGGACAUACCUCUGGUGUACCAGUUAUCGUGCCAACGGUAAACGCUGGGUAGCUAUGUAUGGAGUGGAUAACCGCUGAAAGCAUCUAAGUGGGAAGCCCACCUCAAGAUAAGUAUUCUCACC